rnacentral:rRNA from 1 species
UCCACGCCGUAAACGAUGUCAACUAACUGUUGGGACCUUUUAGGUCUUAGUGGUGGAGCUAACGUAUUAAGUUGACCGCCUGGGGAGUACGGCCGCAAGGCUAAGAACUCAAAUGAAUUGGACGGGGGCCCGCACAAGGCGGUGGAGCAUGUGGUUUAAUUCGAUGCAACGCGAAGAACCUUACCUACCCUUGACAUCCAGAGAAUCUGUUAGAGAUAGUAGAGUGCCUUCGG